UGUAAUCGUUAAGUAAGUUUUGUAAUCAAUAUUUCAAAAAAUGUGGUUAGUGAUUGUAACAAUUAUUGAACAAAGCCAAAAGGAACGUGAUAAGCUAACUACCUAGAUAAAGAUGUAUUGUUGGAAUUUUCUAAUGACGAACCUACGGAAUUUCAAAUACCUGGAAUGAAUAAUGACUAAUCGACACGUGCCUGUACUACUUGCUCUGACUGUAUUACUUGCACAUCAAAAAGUUUUAGCAUCUACUACUGCAAAAUAUCCAAUAAC